CAGAGAGGCUGACAGCAGGGACUGGCUGGCCGCCAGGGAGGAAACCACGCAGACGGCAGGAGCCGGAUGGGAGGAGGCACCCGCGAAACGCGACUCCCAGCUGGCGGAGCCCUCGUAAGCGCCCCACAGGGCAGGACGAUGCCGCGCCCAUCACGAAGCCUAGACCACCCCACGUGGACGCCCCACACCUCUCCCGCCGCUGAGCUCCCGUGUCCUUUUCUUUAGGACAGACGGACGCUGGCUGUGUCCAGGAGGAUUGCAAGCCCUCACGCUGGAAACCUGGCUUGGACACCAGUCUCUGCUGAAACCCCAGGACUGCCCGCGCCCAAUCAGGGCCUCUGGUCCCCACGCUGCCACUCACGCUUCUUGCCUCGCCCGCGCUGACCUCCUCUGCACCUCUCACUCCGUGUUGCUGCCCCCACCUCUCAGCCGGUCGCGGAGGCCCCACCUUGCUCCUCCGGCACCCUCCCAACUAGCUCACACAACGGCCGGCAUCGUCUGUACCGUGGAGGGCGUUUCUCACUCCCGGCCUGUGCAGCCCGGACAUUUCUCCUGAAGGCACUAUUCACCCAAACAUGUAUUAAGCUCCUAGAAGUCUGAGACCGUGUCCAUGUCUUAUUGUCCCUUGUACCCUUUCCAGUCCUUUAAGACGACAGCCUACUAAAUUAUUUUAUCAUGAGGAUACUAUGAAGCAUUCCUUGGACGUAUCAGGGCAAAAAUAUCUUUGAUUCAAUAAACAAAGGGUUCAAAG
ensembl:lncRNA